UACGUAGGUGGCAAGCGUUGUCCGGAUUUACCGGGCGUAAAGAGCGCGCAGGCGGUCGUGCAAGUCGCGUGUGAAAGCCCCCGGCUCAACUGGGGAGGGUCACGCGAUACUGCUCGACUCGAAGGCAGGAGAGGGAAGUGGAAUUCCCGGUGUAGUGGUGAAAUGCGUAGAUAUCGGGAGGAACACCAGUGGCGAAGGCGACUUCCUGGCCUGUUCUUGACGCUGAGGCGCGAAAGCUAGGGUAGCAAACGGG
rnacentral:rRNA from 1 species